rnacentral:rRNA from 1 species
UGUCGAGGGCUUCGGAACCCUACAACAGUUCGUGAGCUUUGCAAGGUUGUGAAGCAAGAAGGUCCCUCCCUCUUCUUCGUCAUGGAAACAAAGAUUAGGGGUAAGCGUGUGGAAAAUCUGAAAGGUCUAUUAGGUUUUACCGACUGUUUCGCUGUAGACAGUGUCAGUUUGAGUGGCGGUAUUGGCUUAUUCUGGACAGGGGAGCUUCAUGUGGAACUGAAGAAUUAUAGUCAAAAACAUAUUGAUGUGACGGUUAGGAGGAAAGAUAGUGAUCAUCCUCCUUGGCGGUUCACCGGUUUUUACAGAACCUCGAGCAGAAAAUAG